rnacentral:rRNA from 1 species
CGACCGGCGCACGGGUGCGUAACGCGUAUGUAACCUACCUAUAACAGGGGCAUAACACUGAGAAAUUGGUACUAAUACCCCAUAAUAUCAUAGAAGGCAUCUUUUAUGGUUGAAAAUUCCGAUGGUUAGAGAUGGGCAUGCGUUGUAUUAGCUAGUUGGUGGGGUAACGGCUCACCAAGGCGACGAUACAUAGGGGGACUGAGAGGUUAACCCCCACACUGGUACUGAGACACGGACCAG